AAAUAAAAAAUUUAAUUAUUUUUAAAGUGUAUUAAUAAUUUAAUAUAAAUAAAUUUAAAUUUAGUAGUUUUUGUAUAGUUUAUAGAUCUAAUAAUUUAUUUUAUAGAAUAGGAGUAUUGAAAAAGAAAAUUGAAAAAUUUUUUUGUUUAUUUAAAAGUAGUAUUUAUUUUAUGUACCUUUUGUAUCAGGGUUUAUUAAAUAAGAAUAAAAAAUUUUAUGUUCUCGAAUUUAAAGGGGCUAAAUUAAUAUGAAAGUUUUUGUGUCAUAAAAAUUUUUAAUUUUAAUUUAGUAAUGAAAUGUUAUUCGUCUUUAAAUAUAUCUAGUUUUUUAAGAAAUAAAUUUAAUUUAUAUAUUAAUUUAUUAAUUUUUUAAUUUUUAAAUAAAUUGAUUAUUAAUAUAAAUAUAUCAAGGGAUAAGCUUUGAUUUAUUAGAAUUAUAAUUUAAAUAGAUAAAGAAUUAAUUGUAGAUUUAGAAAUAGUUAUCAAUAGAAAAUUUGUAUUAAUUUAUAAGUUUAUAAAAAAUAUUUAUUAAAAUUUAAUUUUAAUAUUAGAAAAUAAAUUUAAAUUGAAAAAAUUUAGUUAUAAUGAUAAAAUUAGUAUAAUAAAGUUGUUUAAAUAGAAUUUUUUUAAAGAUUAUUUUAAGGAAUUCGGCAAAAUAAUGUUCACCUGUUUAACAAAAACAUGUCUUUUAGAAUAUAAUUUAAAGUCUAACCUGCCCACUGAAUUUAUUUGAAGGGCCGCGGUAUUUUGACUGUGCAAAGGUAGCAUAAUCAUUAGUCUUUUAAUUGAAGGCUUGUAUGAAUGGUUGGAUGAAACAUUAACUGUCUCAAUUUAAUAAAAAUAGAAUUUAAUUUUUAAGUCAAAAAGCUUAAAUUAAAUUAGAGGACGAGAAGACCCUAUAGAUCUUAAUAAUUAUGUAUUUAUUAUAAAUAUAGAAAUUUAAUUUUUAUUAUUUAUUUAAUUAUUUUAUUGGGGUGAUAAGUAAAUUUAAUUAACUUUAUUUUAUAUAAACAUUUAUUUAUGAAUAAUUGAUCCAUUAUUAAUGAUUAAAAGAUUAAGUUACCUUAGGGAUAACAGCGUAAUUUUUUUAGAGAGUUCUUAUCGAUAAAAAAGUUUGCGACCUCGAUGUUGAAUUAAAGGUUAAUUUUAGGUGCAGAAGUUUAAAGUUUUGGUCUGUUCGACCAUUAAAUCUUUACAUGAUUUGAGUUCAAACCGGCGUGAGCCAGGUUGGUUUCUAUCCUUAAUAAAUAUAAAGUAUUUUAGUACGAAAGGACCAAAUAUUUAAAAAAUUUUUUAUAAUAAGAAUUAUAUAAAU
rnacentral:rRNA from 1 species